AGACCCCUAAACCCUCAACUGUUAACCAGGCUAAAGCAAUUCGUCCACUUCCCCGAACUCCCCCUCGGGAUCCUCCACCUCCUCCACCCACUACAGGCUCUCUCGGAAGAAAGCCUUCCACCCUUGAUACGAAAUUAGCGAUUCUCAAGAAAGAAAUGGCUGGGCUAAGACAAAUAGACAUGCAAUUGAUGAAUCAGCUGUGGUCCCUUCAGCAGUCAAUUCAAGACUUGAAAUGCAUCAUGAGUACAUCUGAUAUGUCACCCCAGUCGGCCGUUGAUCCUUGGGAGCUCAAUCAUCAUGAACGAAACAACGAAGAUUUUUGUCGGAGUCCCCAUCGCUUGAGUGCGGUUAACGAAAAUGAACAUAUUUCAUCAUCAACUUCUUCCAUUUCGUCGGGUAGUGGUGAAAAACCGUGAUUUUUUUUUCCAUUUGCGCGUGAACCAUGGAAAAUUGCUGUGAAGUGAAACAAAUGGAGCGUGAAUUGCCAGGGUGGAUGACUAAAACUACAGUGACACAAACUAGAGAUUGCAAGCCGUCUAAUACUGCGGUGGUCUCGGGCAAAGUGUGUGAUCGAAGAUUAGCUUAUUUGAUGAGCCCACGGGAAUUGCAGAUGGUUGCCAAGGAAAUUCUUGGUCUUAAGUGAAUGUUUUGUGUGACAUGUCGAUGCAGCCCUAUUGAUAUUCAUUCCAAUCGUCAUUUUCAUUUUCGUAAUAAUCUUUUUCGUUAACUUUUAUUCAUUGGGUAUCGGUGUAUAGAGUGGUCCCGUAACAACAAGAAUGAGGGGAAAAUGAAUAAAUUUCAAUUUCACUAGCCA